rnacentral:rRNA from 1 species
UACGUAGGGGGCAAGCGUUGUCCGGAUUUAUUGGGCGUAAAGAGCGUGUAGGCGGCUAGAUAGGUCCGUUGUGAAAACUCGAGGCUCAACCUCGAGACGUCGAUGGAAACCAUCUGGCUAGAGUCCGGAAGAGGAGAGUGGAAUUCCUGGUGUAGCGGUGAAAUGCGCAGAUAUCAGGAAGAACACCCGUGGCGAAGGCGGCUCUCUGGCCUGUUCUUGACGCUGAGGCGCGAAAGCUAGGGGAGCAAACGGG